UGGCCACGCCCCCGGGUGGCUGUCGUGGGAGCGGCUAUGGAGGCUCUGAGGCCCUUCUGCUCUCAAGUUACCGUCGCGCUGAGUCUCGUUGAGCUCCGCUGGGAGCCGGGCUCGGCUGUGGUGCCGCUGGGCUCCGCCUGGAGCAACCCUACCGCCCGCCGGCGGCUGGGAACUUAGCGGGCACGUCAUGGCUGCCGCUCUCGGAGAGCCGCUGUGCCCGGCCCGCCAGGGGGAGCCGCCGCCGCCCCGCGGGAGGAGGAGGGCGGGCCCCGCGCCGAGGUAAGGGAGGUGGCACUCGGGUGGUGGUGUGGGCGGUAGGCGUGGAACGGGUGGGCUGCGGGGACGAGAAAGGGCUGAUCUUCUAGACGGGGCUCCCAGAAAGUGAGGGGAGAGAGUUUUCGGAGUGCCGGGGCGGUGGCCGGACCGUGAGCCUUUCCUCGUGGAAUCCUUCUCCCGCCGAGGUUACCACAAACAGCAGGGAUCGAAAGCGACUAAGGCAGCGUGUGCUGCGAGGUAACACGACGUAACGUUUUACUAACCGAGGAACCGGGUGUUGUUUUCAAAGCGUGAGCACAGAGUGAAUCCACGAGGGAUACCAGCCCUGUGUGCUGCUGAGGGCGUAGGCAUCGCGUGUGACCUCCGGGUCAGGACUGCAGGAUGAGGGCUUUCACUUUGACUUGGCAUUUCCUCAUGAAUUGUCUUCCUUUUCUUCACGUGGGCACAUAGGCAGCUCAGAAAUGCUUUUCUGCUGCCACAUUACAGCUUCUCCACCAGUGUGUGUCAACUUUCAGUGUGACGGCACUGCCCACCUUGUGAAGGGCAUGUGUGUGGCACAGUCUGGUAACUGCAAUUGCCAGUAGCGUUUCUCACUGUCACUCCAAGGUUGGGAUUAGUGCUAGGGCUGAGCUCCAGUCUUAUUUCAUCUGCUUGUGCUGUCAGUAUGGUGUCUUAAACUACGUACUCAAGGUAGGCAAUAAAUACCUGCCAGUUUCAGUCGUGCCUGGCAUUGUCCGUACUGCACUUCUGUCUGCAAGUGACUACUCGGACCCUAAUCCUCUGGAAGAGUUGUAUACAUCUGUAACUCGAAGGUUAGUAGAGCCCUUCAGCUUCAGGGACUGCUUUUCUGAGUCAGAUCACUCAUGGGCACCAAGUUUCAUUAAGCCUGGAUAACUUGAUCUGAUCCUUUUGUGCCUGUGCAGUUACAGAAGGUGCAGUAGUUCCUAAGUGAUUGGUUUUUGGCUUAGAUACCAGGUGUGUCUUGAAAUCUCAAGUUGAGCUACUGACACCUUUCAAGUUUGACUUUGAGCAAUUAUGAAUAGCUGGUUCUCCCUGUGAUUUGAAGCACCUACACAAGCAAUGCUAAAUUUAUCUCACAUGGUAGGUUUUCACUUUUUUCUUCUUUUUUUUUCUUUUCCCCUGUUUAGCUGUCUUUGUCAGGUGGUUACAGAACUAGCUUCUGCACCCUAACUCUAAGGCAUUGCUUGUUUCUCUGGAGAGAGAAUUCAUUUAUUUGCUAAAUGCAGGGCUGGGGCUCUUUCUUAAGCAUGUUUUGUUUAAGUGAAAGUGACUGAACCAAGGCAAGGGAAUGGUUAGUUCUUGAGCAAAGACAUAAAUGGACUUCUAAGUGAAAACCCCCACAUCUCUCCCAGAACUUCUUUCUAAGUGCAUAACAGAUCCAAAAAAGUGAAACACAGGAAAAAGUUGAUCUUAGUUUGAAAGAUGACCUCAUGUUGUGUGAUUAUGUCAAGUUCUGAGAAGUUAGCAACUGGAUUAAUCCACUCCUGGGUUGCUUACGUGCUCACAGCCACUGUUUGGUCUCCACAAACAUUCAGCAAGUGUUGAUGAAUGUCAGUGAGUGACACCUUUUCCGCAUGGAGGAAUUGAGUGGCACCCUCUUGUUUCAUCAGCACUCUCAUGUCAGACACCAUUCUGUCAAGCUGCCCCUGUGCUGCCAUCUGUCACAUGGCAGCUGUGUGUAAGCGGAUAUUGAUGAAGGGUUCAACCUCUGUUGCUGUACCACCAACAUCCGCCCCUGAUGUCACAGGCCAACAUAGUAAGAUAGGAAGCUUUACUUUUGGAGCAGCCCUCAUAGACUUGCUCAUAUGGCUUAGGAUAUUAAUUUAGUACCUCUACGCUGUUCUAAUCUUAAAGAUUUGAUUUCCUGGAUGUUUAAGAUUGAGACUGAGGUACCAGGUUUCCUGCAUAGGAAUCAUAAGUUACAUCUUCUGUGUGGGAGUCAAAAAAUCUUGCUUUGAAUGGCCGGGAGAACUUGUGUCAGUCAGCUAAUACAAGGCUGAAAUCAUCCAUAGCUGUGAAAGCUGAUUCAGGUACAAUUAUUUGCAGAGUGCUGUAACCCCAAAUCUUGGACUGCAGUGCUCACUUUUUGCUGGGGAGGUACAUAAAACCAGCAAGAGUGAACCAUUUCUGUGCUGAUUAUUUCUCACUGUACUCUUUUCCCAUGUACAAAAGUGUUUAUUUAUCACUUAGUCUUCCUCUUCAUAGGUGGCUGAAAGAAUAAAUUGUGAUUUUUGUUUUCUUUUUCCCUAAAGAAAGAAUUCAUGGUAGAGGCCCUGUUUACUCCUUAUGUGCUGAUGGUGUAUCCUGUAUUGGUUUAGAUGACAUCCACUGUUGAAAGCAUGGUUGCUUGCCUUUUUUUGUCCUAGUCACAUAAGUAGGUCACGUUGAUUAGGUCAUAUAUGAGUAGGUCGUAUGGGCCUAUGCAUGCAGGUAACACUUGGAACAAAAAAAUAAGCAGACAUUUCUGUGUGCUUUAAAUGCUUGCAUCACUUAAUAAAUGCAUUUUAAGGAAAAUGCAAGAUUGAGACCCCAUAUGGGGUAAAUUAUAAAGUCUUAAGCGCAGUAAAAGCAAUAAAACAUACAGGAAGAAAACACAGUUGACAUAUAGGUGUGAUAACAGUGGAGAAAAGAGAGAAACUAUCCUACAGACGUGGAAACUGGAAUGCAGUCUAUGCUUCAUGCCAACAGAAGGCUGUAACUUCCUUAGGCCUCUCACUGUAAAUUUGCCUGGCAACACUUCUGAAAGCUGUGAAGUUGAGCCACAAGUUCAUAUGCAAGACAGAUAGGGCAUAGUUUCCAGAGCAGUGUAAGAACUGCGUGUGUGGAGGUCUUGGUGCUGCACAAUGUUGCAUCAUCAGUCUUAAGUACAUGGUAACAGUAUUUGCAAAUACGUAGGCAGUCUCAAGAAGCUUGUAGUGCAGCAUCCAAGCCAAAGGCCUUGCAAGAGUUGAGUUGUCCGGCAUGAUUAAAUGGCUUUCUUUUUCCUUUCUCCCUGUGUGUAGAUAUUUGUGUGUAUGUCUGUAUGUCUAUACAGACAGAUGAAGAACUGGAGGAUAAAAAUUGGAUGAGUUCUUUUGUCUUUCAAGGAACAAUAUGGAUUACUAGGAAUGGACUAGGUCGCUCUAAAACUUAGCUGCAGCCUGAGUCUCCCAGUAAAAACACUCUUCCUUUCCAAACUGUGUGAACCCACAAACACUGAUGUUACCCAUGUCAGCUGAAGAGCCUGUAUCUGAGUGAAGGCAGCAGCUGCUGUGCUGGGUGGUCAUGCUGCAGGUAGGAUGUGCCCCAAAUUGAUGUGGGACAGAGAAAGAAGGCUCUGUCCCCACCCAAACCAAAAAGGUUUGCUGUAUGUGGAUGUAUUAUGUUUUUUACAGCAGAUUUUGAAGCCUGUCCUGAGAGCUGAAUUUCUGUGCUAGCUUAAAGAAUGUCUGCCUUAAUUAAUAAUUAAUAGUGUAACAUUACACUUUAAAAUACAAAAGUUAAGGAAGCAAAGGCACGGAGGCUAACUUUUACUGUUAGUACUGUAGUCUCUGUGUUAAUUACUUAGGCAGGGCAUUUUGGAGGAUGAUACAUAAAAUCUUUUGCAAGUGUAAUGCCUUGAACACAAUCAGAGGCAGAAUCUUAUGGAAUUAGAAAAAAAAAAUAAGGAAUGGGGUGAAUCAUCUCAAUUUUGGAUACCCUUUGAAGUAUUUGUACUGACAGAAUGCUUUGAAAUACCUGGUUUUGUUUUGCUUUCUUGGAAAGUAUCAAAGGUUUGGUAAGCUGGAAGUCAGGAGAAACAUGGUAGGCUUCUUUUUCUGGAGGCUUUUCUCCCCAUGAAAGCAGUCACACUGAAGCUGUGUGCUUAACUCAGACUAUUUUUAUUUUUAAUGCCUUCAAUUUUCUGGGCAUUACGGCCUGGCAAUAUUGCUGUGGAGAGUCGUCUACAAAUAGGUAAAUGAGACUAGCUUUGGCUCCUGGGUGGCUGCUAUGUAUUAGCCAGAUCUUAGCUAGGUUUAGAAAGAGGAUAUGUGAAGGACUGGGUAGUGUCAGAGAAGUGGGUUAAGGGAAGAACUUCAUGCACGUAGGGUGCUUUCUGUCUUUGAAUGUUAAUUUUGAUUUUUGUUGCAGUGUGCUGAGGAAGGUACAGUGGUUUUGAGAAAGCCAAGUCACCCAAGUGGCCAAGAGCAGUGGAAAGGGAAGUGAGUGUUGUAGGGCUCACGUACACCAGCAUGUUGCUGCUAUUUGGGGAUAAGGGAAGUGUGGAUGCAGGUAGUGUGUGAGAGGAGAUGAGGGGAUUAGCAGUCAUAAGGAGAAAGAAUGAGAGUGUGGAUAAUAGAAAAGGAGUUGCUUAUGGAGGAGAAGGUGAAGUUGAGAUACUCAAAUCUCAGAGGAGCUAGAAUAUCAUACUGGGUUUCUGCAGUGCUCCCUAUUCAAAGUUGUGAGUUUGCAGGGCAGCUCUUACUGUAGUCAGUCAGUUAACUUGAGAAAGUUGGGAGCUGGGUACCUGAGAAAGUGUGUUAGCUUAUAGUGGCUCAAAAGAAGGACAUCUGAAAAAUGGAACUUCAUUGCCGACAGUUUUAUCUGAAGGGGUGGUCUCUGAGCACUUCUGUGUUUAUUCAGUGCAUCAUGAAGUGAUUAUGUAAUGUCAGUGAGGAUGUACUAAUGAUUUAGCCUUUGUGAAGGCAGAGAGAGAAAGUCUGUUAUAGAAUAUCAGUACUGACUACAGUAGAAGGCAUCUUAGAGACAGCAAAGGCAGUCUCUGAAAGACUGAGCACUCUGAAAGAGACUGAAUAAAUGUUAUAACCUUCAUCAGAUGUAUCAUCAGAGAUGCUGAAUUCAUAGAAUCACAGGAUGGCCUGGGUUGAAAAGGACUGCAACAAUCAUAUAGUUUCAACCCCCCUGCUAUGUGCAGGGUUGCCAACCACCAGACCAGGCUGCCCAGAGCCACAUCCAGCCUGGCCUUGAAUGCCUCCAGGGAUGGGGCAUCCAUAAUUCCUUGGUUUGAAAUAAUUUCUGUUGCAAAACGCCAACACAGGACUAAACAGUGUGUGAAACUGUAUUUUAUGUUCUAGGAGCAGUUUAAAAGGCUCCUAUUUUUCGAGGAUAUCAAACCAUCUUCAAAUCAGCUUUAUGAAAACGGAUGUUUUGAGUUAGUGAUGCAGUUUGCAUCAGUUUUCAUCUUAUUCCCACCUCUGUCUCUAUUUCUGAAGUAAGUUGGUGUUAACUGUAUGUGUUAAACAUGUAGAGUAUUUGUGUUUUAUAAUAGCUGAUGUGGCUGAGCCAUACUGUGUGAAGUUGUAGUGCUUUUAUUGGCUAGAUACUAACAACUCACUGAAACAAGUAGGAGUGUCUAUACUAGCAUGUCCUUGCAGCCUAGACAGUAUUACUAGUCUAAAAUAGAUGUAGUAGACAUUUGACAGGCACCACAUUUGAAGCCAGUUGCACAGUGUUGGUGGGUAACUUCUUGCAGCAAUAAGAAACAUGAGCAGGUAUGAGUAUGUUUGAGUACCCGCUGGUGGGGAAAAAAACAACCAGUGGUAGUAAGACCAAUCUGGUCUUCAGAUGUGUAUGAGGUUAUUACAACUGCAGGUUUUGUGUAGUUUAUGCUGUUUAUAGUUGUGAAGUGAUAUCCAGAAGACAUCAAAAGCACAGACCUUCCAUGAAUUUACAACAUGUCCAUUUUAGAAUAAUUGGUUGCAGUGUUUUUGCAUGUCAAGUUCUACCACGGAUGGGUUUGGUGCCUCUCUACCUACAGCAAAGGUGGUGUCUGCAGUUCUAAACUGCGAUUGUUCUGCCCCCAAAACUUCUAUCUACUCAGUUACUUUAUGUGUAUGGAUUGUUCAGUGUAUAUUUUGUUUGAAAUGCAGUAGCUGUUUUUAAUCAACUUAAAGAUUAGUGUCAUUGGCUUUUGCUUCACAGAAGUUUCAUUUUUGUUUUUAG
rnacentral:lncRNA from 1 species